rnacentral:rRNA from 1 species
AUGCGCACCAAGCACUUGAUACCCAACCACGCCGCGGGGCUCACCUACGCGAACGCCUACGCCGCCGCCCGCGAGGGCAGCGGCGGCGGCAUCGACCCGUUCGAGGCGUUCCCCGACGCGGUGCUCGGGCUGAUCGUCUCCAAGCUGCCCUUCAGGUCCGCCGUCGCCGCGUCCGCCAUCUCGCGCCGUUGGCGCGGCGCGGUGGCCACCGCGCCGGUGCUCGACCUCGACUUCGCCGCGGCGUUCCCCGCCGCGCCCCGCCGCAGGGCGGCGUUCGCGGCCGUUGCGGCCGCAGCGCUCGCGGGCUCGCGGCGCCACCCGCUCCGCCGCCUCCGCCUCGCGCUCGACGGCUUCUUCGACCAGGCCUUCGCCGCCUCCGCGGCCAACCACGUCGCCUCCUGGCUCGCCGCCGCCGCGGCGCGGGGCGUCGAGCAGCUGGAGCUCCACCUCCCUCGCUCCCGCCUCGCCGUGCUCCCUCCCUCCCUCCUCGCUUGCACCGACCUCACGGCGCUCACCCUUCGCCUCGACCACAACGCCCUUCCGCUCCCUUCCCUCUGCCCCCUCACCCGCCUCUCCCGCCUUCACCUCGCCUCCGUCUCGCUCGUUGGCUGCGGUGACUUCUUCGAAGACCUCUGCUCUCACUGCACGCAGCUCAGCUGCCUGAUCCUUGAACAGUGCCACAUCGGUGCACUCCGACUAGCCGGCGCGCCGCAGCUUUGCUCGCUUGACAUCGCCAGCUGUUCGUGGACGGAGCAGUCGUCUGUUGCCAUUUCUGAGAUGCCGGCGUUGCGCACUCUCCGCUACUCGGGUGCGAUGGCGAACAGGCACAUGAUUAAUGGCGCCGAUUCCUUGGACGAAGUCGUUUUGGCCAUUGAGAAGCCACAAGCUCUCCUGGAGCCUAAUCUCAGAGAGCUGCUUGCGUUGGUUGGAAACGUACGGAGCCUAGUGCUUUCGUCCUGGUGCAUUGAGCAAUUUGCGCGUCCUGAGGAAUGGUCGAAGGUGAGGCUGGACAAGGUGAGACGCUUGGCAUGCAUAAUAGAGAGGAGGGAAGAAGGUGCUUUGUCCAUUGCACCAUUGCUUACGAGUUGCCCCAAUGUGCAAGAACUUUCUGUGUCGGUCGUGCCAUCGCAGUCCAAGCGGAGACGGUGCAGCGACAGUGAAGUUCAGUAUCGUGUUAUUGGUGGUAGAGGGAUGAUCGUCAGGAAUCUCAGGGAAAUUAGGAUGGAGUACAUUGAUGAGAGCAAGAGUGGAUUGGAUCUGGUUAAGCUUCUGCUCAAGAAGGCUCAGAUGUUGGAGAUGAUGACAAUUGUGCCUUCCAUGGAUGGCCUUGAGCAGGCCAAGUUCAGGCGCAGGGUGUUGAAGUUCAGAAAAGCUUCCAGGAAUGUCAACAUCCAGUUUUGUGCCACUGCAUGA